rnacentral:tRNA from 1 species
GCCCUCUUAGUUCAAUGGAUAGAACAAGGUCCUCCUAAGACUUAGAUAUCGGUUCGAUUCCGGUAGGGGGUGCCA